UAGAGUUUGAUCCUGGCUCAGGACGAACGCUAGCUACAGGCUUAACACAUGCAAGUCGAGGGGAAACGACAUCGAAAGCUUGCUUUUGAUGGGCGUCGACCGGCGCACGGGUGAGUAACGCGUAUCCAACCUGCCCACCACUUGGGGAUAACCUUGCGAAAGUAAGACUAAUACCCAAUGAUAUCUCUAGAAGACAUCUGAAAGAGAUUAAAGAUUUAUCGGUGAUGGAUGGGGAUGCGUCUGAUUAGCUUGUUGGUGGGGUAACGGCCCACCAAGGCAACGAUCAGUAGGGGUUCUGAGAGGAAGGUCCCCCACAUUGGAACUGAGACACGGUCCAAACUCCUACGGGAGGCAGCAGUGAGGAAUAUUGGUCAAUGGGCGGAAGCCUGAACCAGCCAAGUAGCGUGCAGGAAGACGGCCCUACGGGUUGUAAACUGCUUUUAUGCGGGGAUAAAGUGCGGGACGUGUCCCGCAUUGCAGGUACCGCAGGAAUAAGGACCGGCUAAUUCCGUGCCAGCAGCCACGGUAAUACGGAAGGUCCUGGCGUUAUCCGGAUUUAUUGGGUUUAAAGGGAGCGUAGGCUGUCCGUCAAGCGUGUUGUGAAAUGUCGGGGCUCAACCCCGUCACUGCAGCGCGAACUGUCGGACUUGAGUGCGCCGGAGGAAGGCGGAAUUCGUCGUGUAGCGGUGAAAUGCUUAGAUAUCAUGAAGAACCCCGAUUGCGAAGGCAGCUUACUGGAGUGUAACUGACGCUGAAGCUCGAAAGCGCGGGUAUCGAACAGGAUUAGAUACCCUGGUAGUCCGCGCGGUAAACGAUGGGAUGCCCGCUGUAUUGCCAAUUUGUGUAAGUGGCCAAGCGAAAAGCGUUAAGCAUCCCACCUGGGGAGUACGCCGGCAACGGUGAAACUCAAAGGAAUUGACGGGGGGCCCGCACAAGCGGAGGAACAUGUGGUUUAAUUCGAUGAUACGCGAGGAACCUUACCCGGGCUUGAAUUGCAGGAGAACGAUCCAGAGAUGGUGAGGCCCUUCGGGGCUCCUGUGAAGGUGCUGCAUGGUUGUCGUCAGCUCGUGCCGUGAGGUGUCGGCUUAAGUGCCAUAACGAGCGCAACCCCUCUCCGUAGUUGCCAUCGGGUGAAGCCGGGCACUCUGCGGAUACUGCCACCGUAAGGUGUGAGGAAGGUGGGGAUGACGUCAAAUCAGCACGGCCCUUACGUCCGGGGCUACACACGUGUUACAAUGGGGCAUACAGAAAGCAGGCGGCCGGCAACGUCCGUCUAAUCAUCAAAGUGUCCCUCAGUUCGGACUGGGGUCUGCAACCCGACCCCACGAAGCUGGAUUCGCUAGUAAUCGCGCAUCAGCCAUGGCGCGGUGAAUACGUUCCCGGGCCUUGCACACACCGCCCGUCA
rnacentral:rRNA from 1 species